rnacentral:miRNA from 1 species
UGUGUGUGUGUGUGUGUGUGUGUGUGUGUGUGUGUGCGCGCGCCAGUCACAAGACACAUGGAGCCCUGAACCACAAGCACUCAC